AAGAAACUAACAAGGAUUCCCCUAGUAACUGCGAGUGAACCGGGAAAAGCUCAAAUUUUGAAUCUGGCGGUCCUUCGGGCCGUCCGAGUUGUAAUCUAGAGAAGCGUCUUCCGCGCUGGACCGUGUAUAAGUUUCCUGGAAUGGAACGUCGUAGAGGGUGACAAUCCCGUCUUUGACACGGACUACCAGGGCUUUGUGAUGCGCUCUCGACGAGUCGAGUUGUUUGGGAAUGCAGCUCAAAUAGGGUGGUAAAUUCCAUCUAAAGCUAAAUACAGGCGAGAGACCGAUAGCGAACAAGUACCGUGAGGGAAAGAUGAAAAGAACUUUGGAAAGAGAGUUAAACAGUACGUGAAAUUGCUGAAAGGGAAACGCUUGAUGUCAGUCGCGUCGACCGGGGAUCAGUCUCGCUUCAUNGCUGGACGUACUUCCUGGCCGACGGGUCAGCAUCGGUUUUGACCGUCGGAAAAUGGCUCGAGGAACGUGGCACCUCUCGGGGUGUGUUAUAGACUCGGGUCGAAUACGACGUUUGGGACCGAGGGACUCAGCACGACCUUCGGGUUCGGGGCUUCGGCUCACGUUAACGUGCUUAGGAUGCUGGCAUAAUGGCCUUAAGCGACCCGUCU
rnacentral:rRNA from 1 species